AGACAACAACGAUUGUCUAAAAAAAAUGAAAAGCCUAAAGAACCAGAUUUCCUCAUAAAGUCGAUUAUUAAUUAGAAUUUUAAAAUUUUACCUGUAUCAAAUGCCAAUUAGAGUCGAAAUGCAACAACAAAAGUCUCUUGUCAUGUUUUGAUUAGAACAAGAUUUACACGAGAAAAGUUGUUUACAAACCGAAAAAAAUAAAUAAAAGUACACAUCGUGGUAAAACCAAUAGAUUCCUUGUUUCACUGAGAACUUAAAAUGAAAUUCACAUUGCCUGCGCGUAACGAUCGAUAUUAUCGUACGAGUUUGCACCAUACAGUGUUUGUUUAA